rnacentral:sRNA from 1 species
GCUGGGCAUGGUGGUGCACACCUGUAAUCCCAGCAGCUCUGGAGGCUGAGGCAGGGGGAUUGCAAGUGUUAGGCCAGCCUCGGAAACUUAGCAAGGCCCUAAAUAAUUUAGUGAGACCCUAUCUCAA